rnacentral:lncRNA from 1 species
AUGGGUCUCGGGUGGGGAAUCCGUCUUGGAGAGCACUAGAGAGAUCAGAGCACCAGAUGGAGGUGAGCAGCAGCUCUGGCGAUGCUCCUGACGAUGGUGUGAAGUCUGCUAGAUGCUGAGUAGUGUGCGGAGUUUCAGUAACAACCAGGCUCAGUGACUCCCGGCUGCUGAGCGCCUGCUCUGUGCUGGUCACGGUCUCUCCGUGGUGUGUCCUCAUUGUUUCCACAGCCGUCAGCUACAAUGUUCACCUAUCAUCGGAUGGCUCAGUGACUGCUGAUGUCACGAUGUCACCUUUCAGUUGUACAGGAACUGAGUUUCAGCAAGCUCAAUGAGAAUCUGAGCGCUGAGCGUGGUAAAUAUGAUGGCAGCAGAGA